UACAGAGGGUGCAAGCGUUAAUCGGAAUUACUGGGCGUAAAGCGCGCGUAGGCGGCUGUCUAAGUCGGGUGUGAAAGCCCCGGGCUCAACCUGGGAACUGCAUUCGAUACUUGACGGCUAGAGUAUGAUAGAGGGAGGUAGAAUUCCACGUGUAGCGGUGAAAUGCGUAGAUAUGUGGAGGAAUACCGGUGGCGAAGGCGGCCUCCUGGUUCAAUACUGACGCUGAGGUGCGAAAGCGUGGGGAGCAAACAGG
rnacentral:rRNA from 1 species